rnacentral:rRNA from 1 species
GGGGAAACCCACCUUAAAUGCUUGGAAAAUCUGAUGCGCCGUUGGCGCGUGAGUGAGUAGAAAUUAGUGAUUAGUGAGUAGGAAACUACUGACUACCGACUAAUCACUACUCACUAUCUGCGUCGAAGACGCCUCAGGUUUCCAAGCAUUGUGAUAAGGUAUCUGCACCUGAAUAAAAUAGGGUGUAAGAAGCGAACGCAGGGAACUGAAACUUCU